GUUGUAGCUCAGUGGUAGAACAUUUGCUUUGCAUGCAGAAGGUCCCAGUUUCAACCCCUAACAUCUCCA